CCUACGGGUGGCAGCAGUGGGGAAUAUUGCACAAUGGGCGCAAGCCUGAUGCAGCCAUGCCGCGUGUGUGAAGAAGGCCUUCGGGUUGUAAAGCACUUUCAGCGGGGAGGAAGGCGGUGAGGUUAAUAACCUCAUCGAUUGACGUUACCCGCAGAAGAAGCGCCGGCUAACUCCGUGCCAGCAGCCGCGGUAAUACGGAGGGUGCAAGCGUUAAUCGGAAUUACUGGGCGUAAAGCGCACGCAGGCGGUCUGUCAAGUCGGAUGUGAAAUCCCCGGGCUCAACCUGGGAACUGCAUUCGAAACUGGCAGGCUAGAGUCUUGUAGAGGGGGGUAGAAUUCCAGGUGUAGCGGUGAAAUGCGUAGAGAUCUGGAGGAAUACCGGUGGCGAAGGCGGCCCCCUGGACAAAGACUGACGCUCAGGUGCGAAAGCGUGGGGAGCAAACAGGAUUAGAUACCCUUGUAGUC
rnacentral:rRNA from 1 species